GUGCUGGGAUUACAGGCGUGAGCCACCGCGCCCGGCCCCAAGUGUUUUAUAUUAUGGGUAUACCUUAAUUUCUUCUAUAACUUCACUUAUUGAGGUAAUUAACUACAUUGUUUUACUAUCACAAAACUGUAGUGCAUAUAGAGAGGGAAAAAGAUAUAGAGAUACCAAUAUAAUGAUACAGAUAUAAAAUAUUCAUGAAUAGUUAUUUCUCUGGUUUGCUACCAAAGGAUGCUUUCAUGUUAAUUUUGUAUUAAUAUUGCCAAAUUGCUUUUGAAAAAAUUUUAAACAUUUCCACUCAAAUCAACAGUGCAAAGUAUUCACUUCCUUGUGUUUUGUAACCUUUGCUAUUCUUGCCAAUAUAAAAGACAAAAGUGAUAUUAAUAGUGGCUUUUCUUUUUUUUUCUGGUUACCAGCAAAGUUGAGAUAUUUACUUACUGUUUAUAUUCCUUUAUUCUCAACUGUCUGUUUUUAUCAUUUGCCUGCCUUACAUUGUUGUUUUUUCUUUUUACUGAUUUGUGAGAAAUAUUAUAUGGCCUUGAUAUUUCUUCAUUUUCCAUUAAAUGUUCCAGUAUGUUUUUCUGGUUGUUACUUUAUUCGAAUCAGUGAAUGUAGUCUUUUCUUUCAUAAAGAAGAUCACAAUUUUAUUGAUGAUCUAUAUAAAUAGGUCUAGAUUUAGAUAGAUUAUAGUUCCUGCACAUUUCUUGUUCAGUCACUUCUAAUUUUUUAUUAUUUGUGGCUAUAGUAAGUAAGAUCCUUUAGGCCCCCACAAUUCCACAUCCAUGAAGCAGUGUGAGGAAGCUGGCAAGACUUGAAGAAGGAGCUUCCAAAACCUCUCCAGAUGUGGCCGAGGAUAAGAUAAAAUGAAUGGGCUGGGUGCAGUGGCUUACACCUGUAAUCCCAGCACUUUGAGAGGCCAAGGCAGACCGAUCACAAGGUCAGGAGAUCAAGACCUUCUGGCCAACAUGGUGAAACCCUGUCUCUACUAAAAUACAAAAAAUUAGGUGGGUAUGGUGGUGGGCGCCUGUAGUCCCAGGUACUCGGGAGGCUGAGGGAGGGGAAUUGCUUGAACCCGGGAGGUGAAGGCUGCAGUGAGCCAAGAUUGCACCAUUGCACUCCAGCCUGGUAACAGAGAGAGACUCCAUUGCAAAAAAAAAAAAAAAAAGAUAAAAUGAAUGACAUCAGUGAAGGUAGGACAAAAGAGACAAUUCCAUCAGGUAAAUCAAGUACUCAUGAUAGAACAUUUCCCACCUCCAGGGUAGAGUACCCUUGCAAUAACUAUCUAAUGGGAUUUCAGAAUUGCUUUAAACAAGUGAAUGUAGAACUCUUUCUUUCCUUUUUGAAUUUCUUUCCUUUUCUGAAGUUGCAUAUCAGCAGUAUGGGAGACAGAUAACUUUUCAUUUUGCUUCACAGGUUUGUAGACCACAAGGAACCACAUAUAGAAGUUCAGCUCAGUGUUGUGAUUGGAUAGAACUUAGGAAGGGAUCACAGAAGGAAAAGACAAAGCUCCAUCAGCCUGAGUCCUUCGGAGACAAAGAUAAGUAGAGCCGUAAAGCUUACUUAUGACAGACAUAGAAUUUAAGCAAGAACUACACUUAUUUGUUGUAAGCCACUAAUAUUUAAGAAUUGUUUGUUGCCUCAUAUAAUACAGCUUAUUAUAUCUUUAUUCUUGUACUUAACAAUGUUCAGAAAUAUUCUCAUCGUCUGUGUCUUCAGAGGUCUCUUUUCCACGUCUGGUUCAAAUUUUUCAUGCCCUAUAUAUUGUUUUUCCUUAGUCUUUAACUGAAAAUAAAAAGUCUAUAUAAAUCUGUUUUUUGCCCAUAGAUAUUGUGUAUUGAUUACCCCCAGUGCCCUCCACGUAACACAUCUACAUAAAUAGGAUCACGUUCUCAUCCUGAGAUCAGGAAAUGUGUUCACUGUCUGUAUUGAGAUGGCAUGUAUUCGAUGAGUAUGUCUUUCAGUACUGAAGUGGAAAUUUAAUGCCACUGCCCAAUUCUCUCACUGUAACAGCAAAAUAACUAUGCUUUUUAAAAAUCUCAACUCCCUCUGUAGUUCUUCUACUGACCAAAACACACACAAAAAAACCCCAAAACACUAAAGUACUGCUUCUACAAAUUUUGCUGCUUUAGGGCCCACUUACAAAAUUUAUAGCUAAGUGUCAUCAUGUAUAAAAUAAAGUAACAUUGACCUUGCAGGUGGGAAGAUAAUGUGCGUGACAUGAUGCCAAUGUCACUGGUUCAGUUCAUUAUUAUUAUUUGUUCAAGGUGUGUUAUAUUCACAAUUUCUAUAAUCCUGUUUAUUUUUCUUGUUUACUGAGGCAAAGUUGUUUUACUACACUUUCUUGGAGUUUUUCCUCUUUGUUGCAAGGGUAUC
rnacentral:lncRNA from 10 species